UACGUGGGGGGGCAAGCGUUGUCCGGAUUUAUUGGGCGUAAAGAGCGUGUAGGCGGCCAGGGAGGUCCGUUGUGAAAACUCGAGGCUCAACCUCGAGACGCCGAUGGAAACCCCCUGGCUAGAGUCCGGAAGAGGAGAAUGGAAUUCCUGGUGUAGCGGUGAAAUGCGCAGAUAUCAGGAAGAACACCCGUGGCUAAGGCGGUUCUCUAGUACGGUACUGACGCUGAGACGCGAAAGCGUGGGGAGCGAACAGG
rnacentral:rRNA from 1 species